ACCUUGGGUCUGGCUGGCCGGUCCGCCUCACCGCGAGUACUGGUCCGGCUGGACCUUUCCUUCUGGGGAAUCUCGUGGCCUUCACUGGCUGUGGGGGGAACCAGGACUUUUACUGUGAAAAAAUUAGAGUGUUCAAAGCAGGCCUUUGCUCGAAUACAUUAGCAUGGAAUAAUAGAAUAGGACGUGCGGUUCUAUUUUGUUGGUUUCUAGGACCGCCGUAAUGAUUAAUAGGGAUAGUCGGGGGCGUCAGUAUUCAGCUGUCAGAGGUGAAAUUCUUGGAUUUGCUGAAGACUAACUACUGCGAAAGCAUUCGCCAAGGAUGUUUUCAUUAAUCAGGGAACGAAAGUUAGGGGAUCGAAGACGAUCAGAUACCGUCGUAGUCUUAACCAUAAACUAUGCCGACUAGGGAUCGGACGGUGUUUCUAUUAUGACCCGUUCGGCACCUUACGAGAAAUCAAAGUUUUUGGGUUCUGGGGGGAGUAUGGUCGCAAGGCUGAAACUUAAAGA
rnacentral:rRNA from 1 species